UGCUUCCUCCCGUACGAGUUUGGGCCGUGUCUCAGUCCCAAUGUGGCCGAUCAGUCUCUCAACUCGGCUAUGCAUCAUCGCCUUGGUAAGCCUUUACCUUACCAACUAGCUAAUGCACCGCGGGGCCAUCCCAUAGCGACAGCUUACGCCGCCUUUUAAAAGCUGAUCAUGCGAUCUGCUUUCUUAUCCGGUAUUAGCACCUGUUUCCAAGUGGUAUCCCAGACUAUGGGGCAGGUUCCCCACGUGUUACUCACCCAUCCGCCGCUCGCUUUCCUAACGUCAUUACCGAAGUAAAUCUGUUAGUUCCGCUCGCUCGACUUGCAUGUAUUAGGCACGCCGCCAGCGUUCGUCCUGAGAAUCACUAGUGAAG
rnacentral:rRNA from 1 species